UGUCAAAACAUCGAUCCUUUAACUGCAGAGGCAGAAAUUUGUUGUGAUUCGAGACAGUCAACAAUUUUCUCGUGUUGUUCGUAGAGUGCGAUAGUUAUAGCAAAAUGACUACCAAAAUAUCGAAAGAUUCUGCACGAGUGCGUCACUGAGGUGUUUAAUGAUGAUAGAAAGAACCAUCCUUGUCCUGAUACUAGGUGUAAACCAACAGAAUACCGUAUUCGAUAAAAUUACAAUUACCAUCGUCGCAUCCUGCAAAAGGUGGAAUUUCUGAUUGGUCUGAAGAACUACGAUCCCUAAAAGCAUAAGCGUUUCUCCGGCAGUCAAUUACGUUAAUAUUUAAUAUCGGACACUGGAAGUGAUACACUUGUGAAUUGCCGUUCACUCGGUUUGCUCAUGGAUACUGAUAUCGGGAAGUCCUCUUGUUUUGGGAGGACGGACCAGCAAACAAUUGAGCAGGUUAAAGCUAGAGGACUGCCGAACAUUUUCCUGUUGGGUUGAACACCGUUUGAUAAGCUCUCUCUUCACUACCGGUGGCUAAAGUAUAUUCUACGCCAGAAGAUGCAGAUUUGUGUUCUUAAGAACAAAAAGUGGUAAAGAAGCUAGCUACAAAAUACGAUGCCUUCCUGGUAUCCAAAACACUGAUCAAGCAGAUUUCUCGUCUGAUUGGUCCGGAUCUUAACAAGGCCGGCAACUUUUUUGUGUUGGCGUACAGCGGAACAAAUAUGCAGAAGAUCGACAAAGUGUAGGCAAGCAUCAAAUUCCAGAUAAAGUUUCUGUGACUGUCGUCGUCGUCGGAAUGUAGAAUCUAUUGCUGUGCUGGUACACAUUACUCGGGAUUUACCUGUAAUUCAUCGAGGUCGAAGUAGCAAAUGAUGAUAUGAUUGCAGCAAAAUGUAUACAUAAAGAAAUUAAAUGAAAGUCAUUGACUGAAUCAAAAGUUACAUACGAACUGUUACUUAUGUAGUAAAACAUAUUGUUUCGCUGCAGUAUUCCAAUGAGUAUCGAUUAGAAUAAAAACAGUUUUCUAUCACGACGAAACAUUUCUUGAUCUACCGGAUCGGUUGGUUGAACAAAUUACCCGGAAUGGUAGCAAAUGUCGAACAUUGUACAGGAUGUCGUCGGAUACGUACUGUCCGUGUACAAACUGGUGUACGUAAUGUUGCUGAGUCAGUUUUUAAAAUCAAAUUCGCAAAUGGAUGGCACGAAUGUUCCUUAAAGAGUAUUCUAAUUUAUAUCCGUAUUCAACCGCAACCGAAUACUAUUCAGUCG